AAUGUAACGGCAUAUCUGUGCGGAUGUUGCGCAAUAGACGAGAUGUUGGUCCAAAUUCAAAAUACCUAUCACAUGGCGUAGAUGAGAUGAGUAUUUACAUACUAAAGAGAGAAAAAUAAAUCCUACCUUUACUUCGUUAAAGGGAAACAAUAUAUAACUUCAAUCCUUUAAUGCGCGGAUGCAGUUGUUUUCUCGUGAAGGCAGACGAACUAGCAACUUGGGGGCGACAGCCUGGGACAUUGAUUCCGCAAGACCCCGCCCUCGAGUUUUUAGAUGGAAUUGCACUAUUGUGAUUUAUCUGCUACGUUGUUUUUGGGAUCAACCCGAUCAUUUGGACAGAUCCCCCUGCGCUCGUUCAUUUUUUGAAGAGAAACAUUGCAAUGGAAGGGGUGAGCUCCGCAAAUGCAGCUGGAACACAGAAUCUCAUCUCCUGGUUUGACACAGAAGCCGCUGCCGUGGUGACAAUCAUUUUCGGUCUGAUCCAAAUGCUCCUGUCUGCUCCCCUUGCUUACACUGACCAAAGUCAGGCAAAACUCUUCAUACUCCCUCUGGUGUCAGGAAUUAUUAUUGUGGCCGGUGGAUCAUUUGCCAUCGCAAGUAAGACUAAUCCCAGCAGACUUUUGCAUAGAAGUUCUGCCUGCAGUAAUGUAGUGGCGUUGGUAAGUGCACUGCUUGCCUUCUGCCUUUACGCCUCCAGCCUCAGCAGCGUAAGCAACAAAGAGUCAUGUCCGUCACAGUCCUUCGACAGAUAUGAUGAAUUGAGUUGUCCUGUGGAUGUCCUACUGGGGUACUGCUGGACUGUGCUACUGUUACUAAUGCUCUAUGCCAUUGGGGCCUUUAUCCUGCACUGCCUCAUUUCAUUCUUCACUCUGAAAGGCCUCAGAACUGGCUGAUAUCAGGAAACAGGCACACUUGUCUAAUGCAUAGAUGAAUAGCAAAAGUAAAUGACAACUUGUUACACUUUCUGUAUUACUAUAAAUGUCAAGGACAUAGCAACAUGGAUAUUUGUGAUUCAAAUCGAAUCUACCUUGUUGAAGUGUAUGUCAAUUCAGGUUCAUUCUGCUUGUAUACACAACAUAAUGGUUUUGAAAUAAAAAAAGGAUUCUUGUGUAAUUGAAGUAUGGACUUUUGACUUUAAUCCUAGAGAUUUUACAUUUUAAAGUGUAUGAUUAUGCAUGCACACAUACAAUGUCCCAUCAGGAAGGAGACAAAUAUGAUAAAUGUGUUUUGGUCUAAAACAGACAUGUUCAAAGUGCGGCCCGGGGGCCAAAUGCGGCCCGUGGUCAAAUUUCAUCCGGCCCCCAGCCACUGUCAUAAGAUCAAUAACGUCUGGCCCACACACAGACUUAAUAAAUUGGCUAGCAGUACUGCUACCAGCAUAUGAAGUAGCUUACACAUUAAAUGUUGCUCCUCAUUUACCCACUAAAAGGCAGCAAUACUCUAAGCAACAUUACCCGGUGUGACCCUUGACUUCCAGUUUUCUAAAAUGUCAACAAUAAACAACAACAAAAAAGUUAACUGCGACGGCCGACGCUUCAAGGAUAGGUAGAAAUUGGACGCAACACGCAAUACGCAACAACUGUGUCUGCCUCAUUUGCAAAGAGACAGUCACUGUUUUUAAAGAGUUCAUUGUGAGGCGAUAUUACCAAACAAGACACGCUGACAUGUACGUCAAGAUUACAGCGAAGAUACGCAGCGAGAAAUUGAAGCAACUUGAAGCUAAUUUUAUUUCACAGCAGCAAGAUCCCGAGAGUCGAAAGAGAACGCCACAAAGGCUAGUUGCGAGAUUGUUGAAAUUAUUAAUUUAAAAAAAUAAUAAUAAAGCAAAUGUGACACACAGAAUGGCUAGCUAAAAUUUGCUUAAAUAUAUUGUUCUACGUAAAGGACGUCAGCCAAGGUCGGCCAACCACAUUUUUACCACACCAAAUCUGGCCCCCUUUGCAAAACGUUUGGACACCCCUGGUCUAAAAUGUACUAAGCUGGAAUCCUAGCCCAUGGAACUUGAGUUGCUCGUCUUUCUCGCACACGUCUUUUCAGAUCGGUUCACAAUUUUUGGAUCGAAUUUGGAUCAUGGCCACUCUGACAUAUUGACUUUGUUAAGUCCAUUUGGAAGACCCAUUUGCCCCAAUUUGUAGCUUCUUGGCUGAUGUCUUGAGAUGUUGCCAAUUAUUUGCAUGUAAAGUUCUUUCUUCUCGAUGCCAUCUAUUUUAUGAAGAGCUCCAGUUCCUGCUGCAUACAAAUAAGCCACAACAUUAUGCUGCCACCCCAAUGCCUCAUAGUUGGCAUUGAUUUCUCAGGUCUACAAGAUUGUGCCUUUUUCCUCCAGAUGUAACAAUGGUCAUUAUAUGGACUCCAGACCACUGUACUUGAUCUUUCCAAUAGAUAUCACAUACUGUACACAUACGUGUUAGGCCAGAUGUCUAAAGCCGGAGUUGGUAAUGUAUGUAGCCGGCGGCUAUCUUGCAUCGGACUACUUAUAUGGCGAGCUCUAAGGAAGCGGAUUUAAGGUGAGUGAUUUACUCCAGUAAAAUAUUCUAGGGCUGCAGCUAAUGAAUAUUUUAGUAGUCAAUAAAUCUAUCAACUAGUUAGUUUGACUAAUCGAGUAAUCAGAUUAGGAACAUUGAAUACAUUGCAGGGAGCAGCUGGAUUCAGCCAUGUUAAAUAAGUUAUAUCAUAUUCACGAUUCCCACUAGAGGGGAUCGUGAAUAGUAUCUACCCAAAUCAAUAAAACUAAAUGCAAACACUUUCAAAAAAAAAAACAUUACAAAGUCACUCUAAUUAAAAAAAAAUACUCGAAGCAGCAAAAUUAGAUUGGAAGCGUUUUACUAAUCGAAUUACUUGAGUUAAUCAAUAAUUGAUGCAGCACUAAAAUGUGCAUGUUUGUUUUUUAUGUAAUUCAGACUGGAUGACUAAUAAAAAGUUAGGAUUUUUUUUUUAACGCAGUUAAUUCACUGCAUCUCUUACAUUUAUACAAAACCAAUCCGUUUGAAAAUUGUGCUAUUUAUUGCUAUUUUAAGUACACGCUCCGUUGACUAACGGAAUAUUUAUUGCAUGGGCCCGACGCAAGAUGGCCGACAAGUGACAACUCUCGUCUCAAUUGGCUCAAGCCACACCUAGCUUUAUAUAUGAUAUCUAUAGUUAUUCCUCAUCUUGCGAGAUGGAUCUUGCUGCUGUCUUUGUCAUCCAUUUACAAUAAAGAUAUAUUUAAAAUGGAAGGAAUGGACUGUACCAUUAUCUUUUAAUAGUGUUAAGGAACAAAAAUUAAAACCUUGCUACAAUAACACCUACAAGUGCGUCCUGAUAACGGGUUACAAAAACGUGUAACCACAAAUGGCUCAUCUCUUCGUUUCAUUCAUUUUUAUGAAGGUUUCAGAAACUACCCCGUCUAACCGGUAACGUAGAUUAUUCUUAAUAUGGCGGCGGUUUCUGAUGGUGUGAAGCGAAACUUUCAUUUUUGAUCAAUACCGUAACAUUGUUAGGGUCUGUAGUAACCAGGUAUAUAUUCUCAAAUUUAGUUUGAUAUCCCCAUUCGGAAGCUUUAGCUCAAAUGUUAGAACCAAGCGGUGUUAUUUUUGUUUUGAUUAAUUAUUAAACACCGGGCUUCCUUCGAACUAGUUACGGACAUUACUGGUGUUCAAGUUCCUGUUAUUUUACUGGUAAAUCCGUCCGGGGGUGUUGUACUUCGCUUGAGUUGUAAGCCAUAUUGUCUGAUAAGGAACGUGAAAAGUACAGUCACGCCAGAACAGAACGCCCACGUUGAUUUAUCUGAUCGUGAAUGUCUGUGUAUUUGGAUGUCACUCCCAGUCAGAAUACGGCGGAACUUGGUUUGCUAGCACCAUGAAGAGAAAACCUGGCAGAUCAAUGGAGAAGAUUCUAGACCUGAGCCAAUCAGAGCUACAGGAACUUCUGGAUCACCCUGAAAAGGUGGAGUCCAUGGCCCAAGAGUCUGACGAGAUCCAGAACAUCCAGUUGGAGAGAGAGAUGUCUUUGGCAUCCAAUCGCAGCCUUGCGGAGGAAAACCUGAACAUGAGGCCACACUUGGAGUCACAAAGAGAGGUUCUUGUGGGGAAAUAUACACAGCUCAAGGCCGUCAGAGAAACCUACAAGGAGCACCAAUCCAUAAUAGAGAGGAUCGUUGGCCAGGUGUCCCCAGAAGCAUUAUUCUCCAGACUACAGACGGAGGGCGAAAAAGCAGAAGCUGAGUCAGAGGUCCUAGCUGAUGUAUUUCUGGAGGGCUCUCUGCCAUUGGACUCAUUCCUUGAACGCUUCCUUGUACUACGUUCAGUUGCUCACAAAAGACGUGUGCUGAUAGAAAAAUUCCAGGAGGCUAUGCAACACAAAACAGAGGCUAUAACGCCAUCAGCACAUAUCGGCUCUCCUGAUGGAGCUCCUAAUAAUUUAUGGAAUCCACAGACCGAAACGGCAACAGCGAAACAUUUGCAUCAAGGAAACACCAAAUGCCUGAACUCCAGCUACGUUACUGCCUCCCAACCACUUUCUUCACCUGCAGGUGGUCCCUGUGUUCUCCCCUACCCUCCAUGUCAAUUUGUUUCUUCCAACGUUUCCCCAGCAGUAUCGUCAGGCUCUGGCCCUGCCGUUCUCUCACAGGUUCCGUCAUACGCUGGCUCACCUUUUGCCCCGGAAGGGAGAUGCGUUGGCUUCGGGUCAGCAUUCAGACCUCCCGUUUCUCAUCCAACUCAGUCGUCUUUCCCUGCUCCAAACCCAGGAUCAGCUUUUGGCCAAUACACAGCAAGCCACUCACAGAGCAAUACUGCAUCUUCAUAUAAUGAUGGAGGUUACAAUCACCCAACCAGGUCUGCUUUCUCCAACUCUCAACCACCAACUGGAAGACUGUUUUGCAGACCUGGAUAUGGAGUUCCCUAAUCAAUCUCCAUUCGCGGAUCUACUGUUUUAUUUUUUUAUUAUAAUCAUUUUUUUUUUUUUUUUUUAAAUAAUCCUUAGUUGCCUUUCUUUUUACAUACAUUGUCCAACAUUACCUGUCAGGCUUACCAGACUAAUUGCAUCCGCCUCUGGUUUUUCCUUUUUUGUUUUGUUUUGUUUUGUUUCGUUUCCAAAUUUCAGAUGGUAGAGUGUAUAAAGCAACACUAGGAUACUCAAGUAUAAACAUUGGCCCAGCUUUCACCCGCUGACGUGAGGCCCCCCGGCCCCACCCAAUCAAACUGGUCAACGCUGACUACUUCAGGUGGGGUGUGUGGUUUAGCCACAUUAAGUCUGUUAUUUAGCUACAACUGGAUUCAUUACCUUAUUCAUCUUUCACACAGCCGUUGGAAACAGAAAUGUCAUUUAAUCCAUCUGCAGGCGACAGGGAGAUAAUGAUUUUACGACACUGUGCGGGUGUGUGCUGGUCCUCAUAGGAAACAGUCUUGCUUAAGGCAAAACACUACCGUUUUUGUCCACUGGCGUCGCUCAAAUCAACCAAAACUGGAAAAAUUACCCACUAUUGCUUUAAAUAAUAGUGUGUUGGUUUUCUUUUUCCUCAUAACCCCCUACUCAGGUUGUUCGCCAUCCUUAGUGGAACAGACAUUACCUAGCAUAAAUGACCUUAGUGUGAAAAAUGAUUGCUCAAAAGUACUGUAUUUAUGUAUGCAAAUCGUGACUUUCUUUGACCUCUAAUAGUAAAGACAAUAAUGUUUAAACACACAAAAUGACACCACUUAUGAACACAGCAAUUGUGUGACGUCAUUGAUGCGUACGCACAUAACAAAACACGGGUGCAUGGGAGGAUGGGUAAUAUUGAUGUCACAAGAUCGGGCAGGCAAACUUGGAUACUCGCAUUAGAUUGGCUCAAAUCGUACUGACAUUAUUAUAGUCCACUCCCACAGAUUAUUGCAGAUUUUAACGAAUACCGCGGGAAUCAAAACAGUCCGCGGAAUACAAAGCAAGGUGCAAAAUAUUUUACAUGUAGUUUUCAUCCCGGCAGCUUCCUGUCAUGGUAAAAUAGCACCCACUACUGGCUCUGAUUGUUAUGAAACUUGAAGAAUUUUUUUUUUUUUUUUUUUUUUUUUGAUGCAGUUGCUCACUUGAGUGGCCGGGAAGGGACAGGCAAAUUGCAAAUACCACCUUUGUGAUCAUUUGUACUUAAUUUUGCUACUAGUUUCGUUGAAAUCUAUGUUCUGCACUGUAUAAGUGUUUUUUUUUUUUUUUUUGUUGCAUGCAGAAGACCUAUUUUUGACAACAUUCAGGUCAAGUGUAUAGAUUGCACUUUGUUUAAAGAGGCACCAAAGUCAUUUUUCAAUAUUUUGAACAGUUCUAUGUAAAUGAUGAAGAUAAAAAUGGGAGUAUGCCGUGGUUGACGUGUGUUGUUUGUGUAGUUUUAUUUGAUUGCAAUCGCGUGAAGUUGUCCUGAAAAUGGUACUGCCCUCUUCGUUCUUCUUCAACACCUACUGAUAUCUGAAGCACUGAGCGCUCUCGGAACUGAGAAAAGCUGGUUCUAUAAUGUGCCGCGUUAAGCGUACAGUAUAUAAAUAAAGCAUUAUUUAAAUCUAUACA